rnacentral:lncRNA from 1 species
UUACAUAUAUAGACUCACAACCCUAACCCUAAUGGGUUGGCAGCCCAACAGUGGUGUCAGCCCACUCUCUCACACAGUCUAACAUCCCCGCAGUCGCAACGGGGACAUCACAUACGAUGAGACCGGAGUAGAAGACGCAGGUAGAAGCCGACGGGUUGAAUCCCCUCACAGCCGCAACGUCGUGAGGGUACGAAUGUUGCAGCUGGAGCAGAGACCGGUGUAUGAGCAAAGGAGGCGAUAGCCCCUAGAUGCCGAGGUAGCCAAAGUCGAGGUGGUCGCGGUCGGGAGACACGUAGCAGAAGCCUGUUCUUCAGGAGGGGUCGACGUUCGAGCGUCAACGAUCGGCGAGGGCGACACAACAAAAGAGCACUAGCAGGCCGACCUUCUUGCUUCUUUGAUCGUCCGGAUGUCGAGGAGCCCCGCCAGGGAGGCCGACGGUAGCACACGCGUCUGCGCCGGUCAUGGUGCCCGUGCCCGUGGCAGAAUAUAAGGGGUAAUGACGGAUCCGGCCAGGAAGGCCACGACAGCGACGGAUCCGGCCGCGAAGACGCGAUCCGGCCAAAGGGACGACAGAUCGAGCCGAGAAGGUCGCAACAACGGUGAAUCAGGCUGGGAAGGCCGCGGCAGCGACGGAUCCAACGAAGACGAUGAAGGGGAGGGCGACGGGGCGGUUCCAGUCGGGCAGGGGCCUGCGCCGGUCCUGGCAGGAAAGGGUUGACACGGCGACAAGAGAGGCGCUGCUAGGCGGCUCAGACGAGGGCAGGGGGGCGUGUUGAUGGCGCCGUUGAUCCUAGAACUGGCCAACCAAGGCGGAGAUAAAAGAGAGUCGCGGGCCAAGAAGGUGGCGGCGCGGGCUAGAUGAGGUAAAGGCGCUCGGCGGCGGCGUGACCUGCGAUCGGGG